GGAGAGGUGGCCGAGUGGCCUAAGGCACGUGCUUGCUAAGCACGCGUAGGGGAAACUCUACCGCGGGUUCGAAUCCCGCCCUCUCCG
rnacentral:tRNA from 2 species